rnacentral:rRNA from 1 species
CGAAUGCUGACGUGAGUAACGACAAAACGGGUGAAAAACCCGUUCGCCGAAAGACCAAGGGUUCCAGUCCAACGUUAAUCGGGGCUGGGUGAGUCGACCCCUAAGGCGAGGCCGAAAGGCGUAGUCGAUGGGAAAAUGGUUAAUAUUCCAUUACUUCUGUGUAAUGCGAUGAGAGGACGGAGAAGGCUAAAUCAGCCUGGCGUUGGUUGUCCAGGUGAAAGGAUGUAGGCAUGUAUCUUAGGCAAAUCCGGGGUACUCUAUGCUGAGAUCUGAUAGCAAGCUGUACUUGUACAGCGAAGUGGUUGAUGCCAUGCUUCCAGGAAAAGUCUCUAAGCUUCAGUUACACAGG